CCUCCCUCUACCUCCGUUUCCACUUCCUGGAGAAAAUCCCUUAAUAGGAUAGUGCUUGGAACACAGGAUCCAUGGGGUAGAAAGCUUGACUUUUAUCCUUGUUUGGGGACCUAGUGAUGGAUAAAUCAAACUGUUUCCAGAUUGUUGCUAAUGAACAAGGUUCUAGUGAACAUUAUUGUACAUAUAUCUUUGGGUAAUCUUUGAUAGAUAUUGUCAAAUUACUGACCA
rnacentral:lncRNA from 1 species